GAUGAACGCUGGCGGCGUGCCUAAUACAUGCAAGUCGAGCGAACAGACGAGGAGCUUGCUCCUCUGACGUUAGCGGCGGACGGGUGAGUAACACGUGGAUAACCUACCUAUAAGACUGGGAUAACUUCGGGAAACCGGAGCUAAUACCGGAUAAUAUAUUGAACCACAUGGUUCAAUAGUGAAAGACGGUUUUGCUGUCACUUAUAGAUGGAUCCGCGCCGCAUUAGCUAGUUGGUAAGGUAACGGCUUACCAAGGCAACGAUGCGUAGCCGACCUGAGAGGGUGAUCGGACACACUGGAACUGAGACACGGUCCAGACGCCUACGGGAGGCAGCAGUAGGGAAUCUUCCGCAAUGGGCGAAAGCUUGACGGAGCAACGCCGCGUGAGUGAUGAAGGUCUUCGGAUCGUAAAACUCUGUUAUUAGGGAAGAACAAAUGUGUAAGUAACUAUGCACGUCUUGACGGUACCUAAUCAGAAAGCCACGGCUAACUACGUG
rnacentral:rRNA from 1 species